UAAGGCGACCAAAAAGGUAUGUUAAGGCUUGUCCCUUUCUUUCAAAGGCAUGAUUCCUAUAUUAUGAUUCCAUAAAUGUUUCCAUAACCGCCUUGCUUUCAAAAGCUAGAAGUUUAUGACUCCUAAAGAUUCUUACGAUGUUAAAUGAAAAAUGUUCUAUGAUGAUUGUGACGAUGAUGAUGACUCUCUUCUAGAAACUCCGAAGCUAUGAUUUGAGAGCAUUAUUUUUUUUAAAAAAAACAAAUAUGCCCGGAUGGGCCUUAUAUUUAUUUAGAGGAAAAUAAAUAGGUCCAACAAAGGAAAUAAAAAGCAAAUGACCGGCCCAAAUAAAUUACAUUUGACCCCAUUUCCAAAUUGGGACUAUCUGGUAUGGUUGCCCUAUUUCCACGGUGCAUUGUCUGAAUCCACCUCUCUCUAAAAAUGAGAGCUUCUUCUUCUUCGUCAAUGUUCCUCUCUUUUGAUUAAUGUGACCAUUGCAAAGCUUCAAGCAUGGAAUCAAACUUACCAUUGCGUGUGUUGACUUCAGUGAUCUAGACCAGCAAGACUUCAUCAUCUCUUUUUUUUUUUUUUUGCUUUCUCCAGUUCGUCGUCUUUGUCACUCCAAGGCUCAAAUCUUCUGGUUGCACCAGAUUCAAUGCCCUCAUCUUCUUCCUUGUCUUCGUCGCUGCUCAUCUGGUAAUUCGUCCCCUUAGUUCUUUUUUUUUUUUUUUUUUAAAUGCAUGUUAUUUGAAUUGGAAUUGUUGAAAACCACUUCUUUCUCUGUUGAAUUGCAUGUACUGCUGUGUUGUUGAUUUCUCUGCCCUUGAGGUUGGCCGAUGUUGUUGACUCACCCCCAGCUGACUCUGAGUUUCUUUUCUCUGUAAGUGACUCUGUGUAGAUAGACGAGACGAAGAUCUUUCAUCGUAGGCUACCUUCAGGUACCAGUUUUGAUUGGUGAGCUCCACUUCUUCCUGGAGCAUUGCCGAGUCUGAGCCUAUAUAUAUAUGAAUUGUGUUAAGGGUACGUCGGGGGCCCUGUCCCAACUUGUAUACUUCAGUCAUGUUCAUACAGGCUUUGCAGACAGUUCCUAUGUACAGCUUAGUCAUAGUGUGACAAAAGUAAUGUCGGCAUCAUGGGUCUAUUGUACAUUUACUUAUGCAUGAUAUUAUGUUCAUAUUUGGCCUGUUGAUCUUA